AGCCUCACUUCCCAUGAGAAUGGGCACCGUCAGUCCCGGUGUCCAGAAAUUCUUAAUGGGGCUAACCUGAGACACAGAUCAUGCUUCCGUCUCAGUAAAUGUCUUGCAACCGUGACAGCGAGACCUGCAAUUUUU
ensembl:snoRNA